rnacentral:rRNA from 1 species
AGAGUUAAAUAGUACGUGAAAUUGUUGAAAGGGAAACGAUUGAAGUCAGUCAUGCUAGUGAAAAUUCAGUUUGGUGGGUUUUGGGUUCAGGAGUUGAGGCAGGGUCAAACCGUUUCUCUUUUGAACUUGGAAUUUAUCAAAUGCACUUUUUCUUUGGCAGGUCAGCGUCGAUUUCGGAGGUUGUAAAAUACUUGGGGAAAAGUAGCUCUGCUUCGGGAGAGUGUUAUAGACCUUGGGUGAUGCAGCCUGUGGGAUCGAGGAUUGCAGCAAAUGCUUUUGGCUUGUCGCCUGAUCUUUGGACGUCACCUCGCUUUUAUCAAUAUUCUUGGUACUGGUGAGUAAUGGUGCUCAUGGGUUAGAGCGAUCAAAAAUUUUGCUAAGGAUGCUGACGUAAUGGCUUUAAACGACC